rnacentral:rRNA from 1 species
UACGUAGGGGGCGAGCGUUGUCCGGAUUUAUUGGGCGGAAAGAGCGUGUAGGCGGCCAGGUAGGUCUGCUGUGAAAACUCGAGGCUCAACCUCGAGACGUCGGCGGAAACCAUCUGGCUAGAGUCCGGAAGAGGAGAGUGGAAUUCCUGGUGUAGCGGUGAAAUGCGCAGAUAUCAGGAAGAACACCAAUGGCGAAAGCAGCUCUCUGGGACGGUACUGACGCUGAGACGCGAAAGCGUGGGGAGCGAACAGG